AACAGCAGAGUACACCAAGCGCUCUGAGUGCGGGGGCCUAUGGGCUGCACACCCGGGAGAUCUUGAUGCAAAGAGUCUGCAGAGUGCGGUGUUCGGGGCCAUGUGAGAGAUGGGAUUAACUGAAGGGGGCGGAGUCUGAAUGAGCACAUGGUACCCCCCUGUGUAAAGCCAGGCCCAUCCUCCAGCCAGAGUCAUUGUGAUGCUUGACAGCUGCUGCAGACCCUUGACCUUGGCUGAGACCCAGACACCCUGUUCCCAGGUCAGAGGAAUUGGCAACCUCAGGAUCCAGGAUGAGAAGCACGGACUGAAUGAGAAUUGCAGGCUGUUCAAUGACACACAGUGACAUCCAGUACUGGGAAGCCCACCAGGGUCAGAGCACGCUGGCCCAGGGUACCUGUUUCCUGCCUCUUGCCCUUCCGCCGGCAAAUGAUGCUCAGAGUGUGGUGCCUCUGCACACGCAGGAGCUAUCGGUGCCCCAGGACGCUCAGCUGGGCACAUAGAUGGCCCUCCUCCUUUCUCACGCCUCUCUAGGAAGCCCUCAGAUGCAAACAUUCUCCUGGUUUGGGGAUAUUUGGAAUUGGGACAGGUCAAAUGAUGGCCUUGAAACUCUCAUUGACCUUGCUCCUCAUGCUCAACUGGGUCCCUAGAGCCCCCAAGAUCUAGCCCCAAAUUCACUGUGUCUUGUGGGGUCUUUCCUAGACCAGUCCAGAUCCACUGGGCUCUCUUCUUAGGGUCUCAUAAGGCCCAUAUCAAGGCUUGGGCUCUUAUCCGAAGUCACUGGAGAAGAAUCUGCUUCCAAAUUUAGGUUGUUGGCAGAGUUCAGCUCCUUGCAGUUGUAGGACUGAGGUCCCCGUUUUCUUGCUGACUGUCGGCUGGGGGCCGUUCUCAGCUCCUAGCAGCAUCUGGCUGCUGCCCCCUGACCCCCACCAUCUCAGCAACAAGACCUUCCCUUCCCUGUCCCCACUGAAUCCUGCUCACACCUCAAAUUUCUCACAAUCCUCCUCUGCUUCCACCCAGAGGAAGUGCUCUGCUUUUAAAGGGUUGGUGUAAUUAGAUUAGACCCACAGGUAAUCUAUCUCAAAGUCAACUGAUUUAUAACCUUGAUUACAUCUGCAAAAUCCGUGUCGUCAGGAAAGGUGACCUAAUCACACCCAGGGACUCGGGCAGAAUCAUGGGGACAUCUGAGCGUUGCUGUGCCUCCCUCGUUCCCUCUCUUCCUUGGCUUUUCUUUGGAAAACCGCACUUUCCUGGUUUUCCUCUGUCCUCACUGCAGUGCUCCUUGGUCUCCUUUGCUGUGCUCACCCACCACUGUCAGCAUUUUUAAGAACAUCAGGACUUCCUAAAAAAGAUAAGAAAGAAGACUGGGCCCAGGCCACCCAGGCAGCUGGCAGAAGACACCCCAGCUGGGGGCUUUCAGCUCCCCGCUCCAGAGCAGCUUAUUUCCCGGGGGCUGGGGACUUCUCCCUCCAAGCUCAGUGGACGGAAUGACCACCAGGGUCAGGUAAACCCAUGGGAGAUGUUGCAAAGUGCCCAGUCACCCUCUUCUGGACGGUGAGAGGGCAGCUUUUUCAGAGGGGGUAAAGGUGAGUGUCGGUGUCCUAGAUAGACUGGCCCUUUUCCCAGGUUGUCUGGCGAAUAUUCAAGAGAGGGUCUGGCCUUAACCAGAAGGGGCUGCAGAACAGAAAAUGGCCACCAAUGCUGGACCUGGGAGCACACCCGCCCCAGGCAGGGUAAUAGUAAUAACGGUGACUUCUGUUGAGCACUUGCUGUGUGCCUGAUGCUAAGCGUCUUGUGUAUAUCGGCCCAUUUAACCUCCACGCAGUCUUAUGAGGUGGGUGCCAUUGCUGCCCCAUUGCACAGGGGAAGAAACUGAGGUACAGUGAGGCUAAGGGCCUCGACCAAGGUCAGAUAACUCGUGACUGACAGGAGCUGCCGGAGAUGUCAUACCUGCCCUCAGUGUUCCUUCCGUGCUGAAAUGCAACCCUAUCAACCUGUGUCCCAGGGUUAAUAAGGUAUUUACAAUAGCAAGAGAACUUCCAUGGAGGGGAGCAGUGGGGCUAGAACUAAAAGAGACACUGUGGGGAGAUGGAUUGGACUCAACCCAGGAAAGGGCAGAUGUUCCAGUGGUCAGAGUGGCCCAGAGGUGGAUGAAGCCACCUUGGAGGGACUGAAUCCCCUGUCACUGAAUAUAUGUAAAUGAAGAGGCCAUUCUCAUUUCCUAAGGUCCUAGUAAUGACAGACACUGUACUGAGCACCUUACAAAUGUCAUCAUUAAGUCCUCACAGCUUCAUCGCAUAGGCACUUACAGAUGAGGAAACUGAGGCUCAAAGAGUUUAAGUGACUCAUGAUGGUUACACAGAUGGUUAGUGGAGGAAUUGACUCAAACCUAAAGCUGUGUAUCCCCAAAGCUCUGCUUGCAACCGUACAUCUAUUGAGCGCUUACUGUGUGUCCAGUACUUUUCUUCCAGAUACGGAGACUCCAGCAAAGACAAUUCAGUCCCAAUCCUUUCCCUCAUGGAGAUCAUACUCCAGUGGGGAGGGACAAUCCAGAGUAAUGAGUGCAAAAAUGGAACUCAAUGAGGGUGAGGUAAUCAAGAGAAAACUGUGGUCAGAGGGCUCUGAGAUGGUCAGAGCAGGCCACUCUGAAGAUGUGGCUUCUGGGCUGAGGUCUGAAAGGCAAGAGGGAGAGAGCAUUACAAAGAGCUGGGAGAAUAGUGCUCUGGGCAGAGGGGGCCACAUGUGCAAAGGCCCUGUGGUAGGGAAGGGGGACAGAAAAGCCCAUGUCAGUGGAACGGCCAAGGUGGGGGCCAGAUCACUUAGGGCCUCAUCAGCCAGGGUUUGAACUUCAUUUGUAAUUUAAAGCAGUGGUAUGCUGCAGCAGUCAUACCAGCUCAUGAGAACCACCUGUUAUGUCAUCAGGCAUUUUGCAAGCCGGUUGGUAAACUUUUAGUAGUAGACUUCCAGUCAAGAUGGCAGAAUAGAUGGUCCCCGGCGUCACUCUCUCCCACAAAUCAACCAAUUUACAACUACAUAAAAAAGCAACAACAGCCAAGCUGGGGACCCUAAAGCUCAGGGGAAGAGGAGGAGAGACCUAUGGAGUUCAUGAAGGCAGGAGAAGCCAUGAUGAGAGAAAGAAAAACCACUCCGACCAUUUCAAGCCCCAGCUGUGUCCAGACUGGAGCUGCUGAGCUGCAGCUGUGCCCUUCAGAUGAAAUUGCUUGGAGGUGGCAGGGGAGAAGAGGGCCUUGGUGGCCCCCAGGCCAGCAAGACCACUAAUAGGGUUCCUGUGGACCCACAUAGGAGCAAGGAGCCAGAACUACUGAAGAAAAGGAGCCACUCAGAGGCCGAUGAAGGCCCUGAUGCCAGAAGUGCUGUGAAGGGAGCUGCCAUGCAGUGGGAGAUGAUGCUGUUGUUCCACAAUCACAGCAAGCCCAACCCUCUGGCCCUGAGCUUGCCCAGCCUCAGCCCUUGAUCCAGCCACUGCCCCUGUCCCAGCCCCUGCCAAGCCCAGCCCUGCCUGUGAUCCAGAUCCUAUCCCAGCCCCAUCAAAGCCCUUACCCCAACUCUAGCCACAGACCUGACCUCACCCCAGCCCUCACUUCUGACCCUGAAUAGGCCCCAGCCCCUGUCCCUGCCUCAGUCCCUGCCCUAGCCCCUGCCCUAGGCUCCUGCCUUCCCCUUUGUCCUCCCUGCCCCUUCCUCCCCCCAGCACUCUUCCCAGCAGAGCUGCAUCUGAGAGGGCCUGGCUCUGAUUGAACAGGGCCUUCGUGGGGAGGCCUGGCAGGCUAGCAGGUGGAUCCUGCAAAGGACACAUCGUGAGGACAGAAUCAGCACUGUGACAUCACAGCACGGCUGCAGCUUGGUGCUCCUGGAGCUGCAGCAGUGAAACAACACCUGAAUUUGCAUCUCAACAAGUUUUCCAGCUCAAGGUUGCAAGAGGAUAGCACUGACAUCCAGCAGGGGAAACUCAAAGUCCACCUGAAAAAAGGUGAAGCGCUCUGCAUCCUGGGGGCCUGGUCCUCCUGCAAAGCACCUGGCCUGCAGCUCUCAGGGUGCAGGAAGUGUUGUUAAGUGCGUGAAAUAGCACCAUGUGAAGAGCACCGGGAAUAUGAGCCUGCGUGACAACACCAACUGCCACAUGGUGUGGCUGCCUGAAAUCCCUUCUUCACAGCUUCAUGUCAUUGACCUAGGGGGAGGGCACACGACCUCCCUUUCAGGUACCCAGACUCAAACCUCCUUGGGGUUCCUCCCUGUCGCAUGCAAAUCUAAACCAGCUACCAGAAGCCCUUGGUCUCAGGCCUCAUCAUUAACUUGUCCCUUUAGCUUAGUCACACCAGGAUGAACAAGACUCAGGGCCCAAAUAACCACCAUGCAAACCUCGCAUUCACUGAGCACUUACCAGAUACCAAGUACAGUGCCAAGUGCUUUUCAUGAUCAUCUCACUUAGUUGUUGAGACAGGAAUGAAAGCCCUUACUUUAUAGAUGAGGAAACUGAGGCUCAGAGAAGUACGACUUGCUCAAGGAGUGAUGCCAUGGGAACUGUGACUCAAAUAUACUUGACGCCACUGCCCACCCUCCUAAUUACCACGUCCUGCUGCUCCCCGCCAUCACAGUGGCAAGGAGUCAGCACCAUAGGAGGACAGAUAUGGCGUGGAAAUUCAGAGGCAGCUGGGCAAUCCAGGAAAGCUUCGUGGAGGAGAAGCCAGAAUUUGGAAGAUGAAUGGGAUUUGACAAACGGAGGCUGUGAAAAGGGCAUUCCAGAAAGAGCAAAGAUGCUUUGAGGACCAAAAGCACGGGGACAUUUCUGGGCAGUUGAGGCCAUCCUCUUGAGCUCAUGUAUUGAGGAAUGGGGGAUGUCAGGGAGAGAGAGGGCAAGAGAGGUGGGCUGGGGCCCAUUGUAGAGAGUGAGAUAGGGUUAACCUGAGAGAGCUUUCUGAGUGUGACGAGCCUGAGAAAGGCCAGACGAGUCAUCACAUGGGCAGCAGUGCCCAGCCCCAGAGUCUGGGGCAUCUAGCAGCUGGUGCUCAAUCUUUCAUUGGAGGACAAGACACCUGAGGCCUCACUCUUCUCUAGACCUGUGAGGCCACAGCAGCCAUCCCCCCACCCCCACACCCAGGUAGAAGGGGUGCAGGAAGGUGGAGCCAAUCAUUCCAGAAGGACAUGUUUAUCCUGGCCACAGGGUGGCCCCUAAAGGGACUUCUCACAUUUUCAACUCACACCCAGCUUGAAAACUGACUGGGCCCUUCUUAAACUUUUUUUUCCCCCCUCUUCUAACCAGCCUUUAGAGAGCUCAGAAAGAAUCCCGAUCAGUGACAUACUAAAGAGAUUCCAUUUGUCCUGCUGAGAGCAACUGAGGAAAGAUUCCAUCGUGCACAUAAUGAGAUUCUGGGAAGGCUGUGUUUUGCUUUUGUUUAAAGGCUUCACUACUAAAAAUAGUUUUUAAAAACUUUUUUUAACCACUCAGAUUGUCCAACCCCUCUCAUUGAGAAACCAGAAGCCCAGAGAGGGCCUGGGGGUCACCUGAGCCACACAGUGGUGAGUGGCAGAGUCCAGAGCCAGGGCCCAAGUUUUCUUGAGGACUCCAGCCUGGUGGUCCUUCCACACACCGGUGCCAGCUUGGUUUGAAACUGCCGUGGCCUGGGGAGGGGAGGAAGGGAGCUGAGGGUUCAGGCUUAGUGUGGCCCAGCUCGAGGACUUCUAGAAACCUCAGCUGGAAAAGACUCCUCAGCCAUACUGCAUACCCACACCCCAUGGAAUGUGGCUGGGUCAUUCCUCCAUGGAGUGCCUAACAACACAUCCUGAGCUCUGGAUGGAGUCAGAGGUCUGGGGAUCCAGCCCAGCUGGGCCACUUCUUAGCUAAGCAGCACUGGGCUGCUCCUGUCACCUUUCUGGCUUCUUUAGCUGUAAAAAACAAAGAGCAGAACGCCUCCCAAAGCAAAUAAGGGUGUGUAGGUACAAGGCCCCUGUAAUCACAUGUGGAGUGAAUUCAAAACCAGCUCUGGAGUCAGACUGCCUGGGAUUGAAUCCCACCUGCAUGCUGUGUGGCUUUGGGCAAGUAACUUAAUCUCUCUGUGCCUUAGUUUCCUCAUCUGUAGAAAAGGGAUGAUAAUAACAAGACCUACCCUCAUAAACUAGCUGUGAGGAAAUAAGUAAGAUAAUCUAUGCUGUGAGUUCAGGAUGGUACACAGCAAGUGCUCUGCAGAACUGUAUAACUGUGAUAGGCAGCUGCUGUUGUUACUGUUCCUGAGCAUCCACUGACCCCACACUCCCCACCCAAUAAAUGAUAUGUGUUUGGAAAACA